UAUAUAACUGGAUGUACAAUGGCAGUGUCCUACCCAGGAAUCGAAUCUGUGACCUUUAGUAUGGUUCCUUCCAUUCCGCUGCAUGGAAUGGAAGUAUACUACACUGCCACCGAAAAGGUCUUUGAAGGCCCUCUUCCCAUACACUCCCUUCCAAUUUAUUCCCAGGGUAUUGGAUAUGAGCCAACCCAGUAUGUUCCAAACAGAGGAUUUGGUGUUUCUACCUCCAAUGGCUCCUAGAUUGGAGGAAGCCUGAUGGUCACCAGACUCUUCUGAGUGAGGCGACCUCUGUAGUGGUGCGGAUGGCCUGUUCGAUAAGGAGUUGGGAAUUUGAAUAAGAGGAUCCUCAGGCAAACUCGUUGGACUGAAGGUCGAAGGUGGAACAGUGAACGGACAAGUUUUUGCCUUGCCUCUUGAUAGGUUUCUGAAAAUUUGA